rnacentral:rRNA from 1 species
UGUGUAGGCGGCCGUCGCAAGUCGGAUGUGAAAUCCCCGGGCUCAACCCGGGAAGUGCACCCGAAACUGCGUGGCUUGAGUACCGGAGAGGUUGGUGGAAUUCUCGGUGUAGAGGUGAAAUUCGUAGAUAUCGAGAGGAACACCGGUGGCGAAGGCGGCCAACUGGACGAGUACUGACGCUGAGACACGAAAGCGUGGGGAGCAAACAGGAUUAGAUACCCUGGUAGUCCACGCCGUAAACGAUGGGUGCUAGGUGUCACGGGCUUUGACUCCUGUGGUGCCGUAGCCAACGCAUUAAGCACCCCGCCUGGGAAGUACGGCCGCAAGGCUAAA